rnacentral:rRNA from 1 species
CAGCAGCCACGGUAACACGGAGGGAGCUAGCGUUGUUCGGAAUUACUGGGCGUAAAGCGCACGUAGGCGGUUAUUCAAGUCAGAGGUGAAAGCCCGGGGCUCAACCCCGGAACUGCCUUCGAAACUAGAUGACUGGAAUCUUGGAGAGGUCAGUGGAAUUCCGAGUGUAGAGGUGAAAUUCGUAGAUAUUCGGAAGAACACCAGUGGCGAAGGCGACUGACCGGACAAGUAUUGACGCUGAGGUGCGAAAGCGUGGGGAGCAAACAGGAUUAGAGACCCCCGUAGUCCCUGUCUCUUAUAC